rnacentral:tRNA from 2 species
GUCCACUCAGCCAUCUCUCC